AGACAUUUUUGGCGCCGGCCCCAGCGUGAGCGGGGACGGCGGCCGGGAGGGCGAGGCCCGGGUUCCCGUUCCCCGCGAAGCCAUGCGGUACAACGAGAAGGAGCUGCAGGCGCUGUCCCGGCAGCCGGCCGAGAUGGCGGCCGAGCUGGGCAUGAGGGGCCCCAAAAAGGGCAGCGUGCUGAAGCGGCGUCUGGUGAAGCUGGUGGUGAAUUUUCUCUUCUACUUUCGGACAGACGAGGCCGAGCCCGUCGGAGCCCUGCUGCUGGAGCGCUGCAGAGUCAUCCGGGAAGAACCCGGCACCUUCUCCAUCAGUGAGUGGGGCCAGGGAGGCCAGCGGCGCCUCCCGCAGCUCGGGGCACCCGCAGCGCCGCACUGUCCUCUCCCCAGGCGCCCAAGGUCUCCUCUGUGUCCCCAGCCUGGCGCCACCCUCCCCAGACACAAGAGUGCAUUGUCUACGGGCAGCUCAAGGUCAAGUUCUCCUGGCGGGCACCACCCUUCUCACCUGCCGAGUCCACUUAAGCUUGGGUCCCUCCCAGACUCUGCUCUUGCUUCCCUGUGGGCCAGGCUGUACUCACAGGGCAGAUGGGCCAGCCCCACCCAAAGCGUUUC
rnacentral:sRNA from 1 species